rnacentral:SRP_RNA from 1 species
GCCGGGUGCGGUGGCGCGCGCCUGCUAAUCCAAGUCACCGGGAGGCUGAGGCUGGCGGAGCGUUUGAGCUCAGGAGCUCUGAGCUGCAGUGGAUGUGCCGAUCGGGGUCCGCGCUAAGUUCGGUUAGGCGAUAUGGUGCUCCUGGGGGAGCCCGGGACCACCAGCUCGUCGUCUAAGGAGGUGCACCGGCCCAGGUCGGGUAAACGAGCAGGUCAAAUCCCCCGUUGCCGCUCGGUAGUGGGAUCGCCCCGUGAAUAGACGCUGUAGUUCAGCCUGAGUGAUUACACCGGGACCCAGUCUUU